CGGGAGGCAGCAGUGGGGAAUAUUGCACAAUGGGCGCAAGCCUGAUGCAGCCAUGCCGCGUGUAUGAAGAAGGCCUUCGGGUUGUAAAGUACUUUCAGCGAGGAGGAAGGCAUUAAGGUUAAUAACCUUAGUGAUUGACGUUACUCGCAGAAGAAGCACCGGCUAACUCCGUGCCAGCAGCCGCGGUAAUACGGAGGGUGCAAGCGUUAAUCGGAAUUACUGGGCGUAAAGCGCACGCAGGCG
rnacentral:rRNA from 1 species